rnacentral:lncRNA from 1 species
CCGAAGACUUCCAAGAGCCAGACUCGAACUGCGUCUUCUCCGUGCGACCUCCUCCCCCUGGCUGUUUUAAGUUUCCAGUCGCACAACACGUGGGUUCGCCGGGCUCGGUGUUAUCACUUCCCUCCUUUGGCACACAGGGUAAAGUUACGUCGCCCAAGAUCUCGCACUUCUGCGCGGCGGAGCGAGCCGCAGGGAGCCCGACUCGGAGCCCACACUCGAGUCGCCACCGCCGACGGCGAUGACCACGGCCUCGAGGGACAGCCCCUGAACUAACCAGCUUUGCUCUGCCACUCCCUUCUGCCACGAUGUUCCUUGUUGAGAGCCAUCUGACCAUGGACUGAAUCCUCUGCAAUAUCAUCCCUGCCUGAUUCAUACCUGGUGCCAUUUGCCUUUGUUUGCUCUCGUGUCUGAUGUGGCCUCUGGUUCGGGUCACAUGUAAAACGCACCUGUACCUCACGUAGGAAGGUAAGUACGUCUUGCUAAGCCCUCAGACACCUGCCCUCUCGCCUCCCCUGUGGUCAGUGAUAACUGUCCACAUUUUCUCCCUGCAGUGGAGCCCACGCCAAAGCCUCUUGCACAGUAGAAGUUUUACAGCAUUUCCACAAACCUCAGUGCCAGAGAGUUUGCAUUUGAGGAACUUCAGGCCCUGAGGGAAAAAUAGGAUUGAGGGAUAAAGGCUAGGAACUUACAAAACCCUAUCUUAAAAAAAAAGCGAAGAGAAUUUGCUAAGAACAUUGUUACUAUUUAUCCAUAUUAAAUUAGAAAUGAUGGGGUACUGGACCAUUGAUUUUUGUGUAUCAUGAUUUGCUUACUAGAACAUUUAUGAUAUCCUUCCCUUUUAUUUUAAAGUUGCUUUAAACAAAAGAAACAAAGAAAAUACUAGGAAAUAGUGUCGUCCUCCAUUUAGAAUCACAUAUCUGCUAUGUAACAUAUAACUCAGGGUCUAAAUCACUCUUCCUAAAUCAUAAUUGGGGUGAUUGUCCAUUUAUGUCCAUAUUCUAUCCAAAUUUCCUAAAGUUGUGAAGUAGGUAGGUCCAGACUUUAUUUGAAGGAAUCUAUGGUUGGCAGGACACCAACCAUAGAUUCUGAUGUAUAACUUUUCUUAUAUAUCAGAAGUUUUUAUAUCUCACUUUCCACCAUUCAUACAAAGAUAAUGGUUUGUUUUAACCACUCAUUUCAAGAUAAUGUUCCUUAAUUCUAGCCUUAAAUGUCCUAGCCAGCAUUUUUGUGGUUUUCCCCAUAGCAUGUGUUAGUUCUCUGUCCAAGCCCAUUUCACCCUAAAGCAACCCUUCCCUUGUUUUGCAGCUUUUAUGCUGUUGCUUAACCAUAACUGUUGGCCUCUUUCCAUAUAUCUUUUGCAAACUCUCCUUUACUGAGAUUCCAUAAUUUUUUUAUUCCAGUGUUUUUUGUAAGUUUUCAUAUAAUACAUCUUAUAUCUGACACUCCCCCCCCCCCGCCAUUUUCUCAAGAUAAACCACUUUCUAGCUUCUUUCGUGAUCUUGAGAUUGAUUUCCAGCUGUCUCGGGUGGGGGUACCAGGUGUGCUCGCAUGCAUUCUACUUUCCAGAUGAUUCUUUUAUUAACAUUUAAUAUUAAUAGUGUUUUUUUAUCUAUUAGUACAUGCUUGCAGUACAUUAGGUUUACAUUUAUCUUGGGAAAUGGAUACAUGGACAUAAUCUGCAGAUAUUCUAACCGAAAUUGGUCUACUUCCCCAGAAACAGAUUCAGAAGGAAAGAUUUAGCAGAAUCCAAAAAUGCAUGAAUGGCUUUAUCUUUUCAGUAACUUUAUGAGAUUCAUAAGACCAGUUCAUGCCAAGCCUGUUUGUAAUUGUUUUCUGUCAUCAGACUCAGUCUUGCAUUCAUAGCACAGUAAAUUAUAUUACACAACUCAAGAGUUUAGGAUUCUUUCCAAUACACAACAUACACUGUUAAAGCAAACAUAUAAUAAUAUAAAUUUCUCUUACAAGUAUAUGUUAGGAAGGAAUAUGAUGAUCCACAGUAAGAGGAUUGAAGUGGAUCAUUCAUGUAUAUUCUUUCUGUUGCAUGUUUUAUGUUCUAAAAUAAAUUGUGUUUAUUAACAAUAUUAAAGUUUUCCUGUUGUAAGCUCACCCACAGUGUAAAUAAAGCCAUUCUUGAUACUUCUUACUUACAGGCCACAUCUACUUUGUACAGCUAUUUUGGACUCUGUGGCCCUCAUUAUGCCACUAUAUGUAUCCACAGAAUGUAUCUUCUAAUAAUAGCUCAGUAGGAUGGAUAUCCCCAUUUUAUGGCAGAAAAGACUCAGACUUAGAGAAGAAAUUAUACAACUUGGUGAAGGUCGCACACCUUCCAAGUAGCAGAGCCAGCAUUAAAAUCUAGAACUAUCUAAUUCUAAAGCCAGUUCUCUUUCCACUCCAUCUGUCUUAGGUUGUACCUAGAAGAAUACUAUCCUUGGAUUUGUUGUUUAACCACAGGAGCACAGCCUACUACAGAAUUAAGUAGAGUGUGCCUCCCUCAUAGUGGAAUGGAGCAAGCGUAGAACAUAUUGUACCACUUUCAAGUUAGAAGUUAUUUCCUAGGGAGUAUUAUUAAAACUCCUUACUCCCCUCUUCAUGAACAAUAAAUAAAUAAAAAGUGAAAAUGACAGUUGAGAUCUUAAUAAAGUAUUAAAUAUACUUAUUAAAAUAACCAAAUAAAGAGUAUUUUUCAUUCUUUAAAAUGCUGGAAACUAUGUAUGUUUAUGCUAUGCCAAAGUGUAUUUUAUUUUGGGGAAUAAUUUAAUUGAUCUAUUUUGUAGAAGCUACCAAGGUAAUAUUUUUUUUUUGUUUCAGCAGUAGGAAUUAAAAAUGAUUCAUAAAGCACACACAGUCACCAUGUAAAUUUAAAUCACAUUAAGAUCACAGUCUUUUUGUUUCACUAAAAUGGUUCUCAUUUGUCUCAACUGUUCAACUCAAAGUGCAUAAAUGUUGCUAGUUCUGAUUCAGGAAGGAUGUAGAACUCAGUGAAUGGUUUUAUAGAGGAACUUGGGCAUUCAGUGAUAGCAUUUAUUCUUUGGAGCAGUUUUGUUGCUUUGUUUGUUUUGCUAUGGGAAUUACUAUUUGUCCAUUUUAAGGUAUGUAAUUAAUCAAUCCAGGAGAAUCAUCUUUGUGUCUGCUGUCUAAAGUAUCUUUCUGUAACACAAGUCUGAACAUCAUGCUCUGUGAUUAAAAACUCAGUGGUUCUGAUUAGACAAGUCUCUUGGUUGCUACUGAUGGAAACUAAUGAGACCACUGAAGAAUUCCAAGCAGCCAAGUGACAGGAACAUAUGUGCAUGUUAGAGGAGUCACACUGAUGGCAGUUUUGUGACUGAAUGAAGAGAGCCAGUUCAAAAACAGAGCCAGGGGAAGAAGUAUGGAUCGCAGUGUCCAGUAUGCCCAAACAGCCCUUUCCAUGGACCUGCCUCCCCGCUCCUGCUAGGCUGCUGGGCAUCUGAGAAAAGCUACAUGAGAGUUCAGUUUGUGCCAGUGGAGUGGACAGCCCUCCCUUCUGCACAUCCCUCCCCACCGGUCCGCAGGCACCAAGAUGGGAAUGUAGCCUCCUGGAGGUGGCUACCCUUGCAGCCCCACAGCCCAGCCACCCUUCGGAUUUAGUGGUGUACCCAUUGGGCAGGAAAAUAAGCUUCUCUUGCCUCCUGAUGCUUUCUACUCAAAGUUCUAAUUUCUGCAUUAUAGCUGAUCUAUCUUGGGGUAUGCAAAAUCCUUUUCAGACUUCACCAGGGCCUUUAGAAGUCCUCCUCUGAAGGUGGCAGACAUUCAGCUACAGAACUGACAUGGAGUUCCCGUGGAGGAUGGGACUCAUCCCAUAUGUCACAAGGAUUUAUACCCUUUCUCCUUCCCAGAAAGCACCUCAGUUUUCUGGACACCAUCAUUUCCAUUUUAUGGAAAUCAAGUCCCACUCCCUUCCCUGCAUUCUGGCCCAGAAGGGAUGCCCAGCCUUAGAUGUCCCAGACCUAAGAUGCCAGCUGGUCUGGCUUCUCUUUCUGCUUCCUAGUAGAUUCCCCUUUUUCCUUUUUUGUUUGUUUUUAGCAAUCCAGAGUUUAAGAUAAAGGCCUCAGAGCUAGCUUGUAAGCCUCUCACUUUCUAGGUAUCUGCGUAUGAAUCAGAGGCAUUAUCUGGGAGUGUGUGCAACCAUCUGCCCUGGUUUCCUUCCUUCUGGCUCAGUCUGCCUGAGGCUCGAAGGCCCAGGCCUGGCCUCAGGUCACUAGAAUCUAGACAGUUCUCUCUGGAGACUGGUGGUGGCCUUUUUAUGAAAAACAGGCUCCAGUCCCCAGCAGUUAUAGCUAAGUCUCCAUCCUGGCUAGGCAGGGUCCUAAGUAGGAUUCGUAGCACCUUACUGAGGGACCGCAUCUGACUCUCCUGGUACAAGGUUAUUCCCCAUAUUUGUUUGGACACCGGCCUCCCUUUUGCCAACGUAGAGGAGAAAUUCAUCCCACCAGUUUUAGGUGUGUCCUCUUUCCCAGUAGGGUGUGGCCCUAACCUAGAGAUUCCCAUAGCUCCUGGAAGGCAAAGAACUGGCUUCGGACCUUCCACACAUCACAGCAAACUUCCUGCUUAAGGCCUGGCCUUCAGCGGGAACAAGGGCGGAGGCAGGGCAGGAUCACUCAGCUGUCCCCUCGGGGACUCGGCCUCUGCCUUAGAGAACCAGGGUCUGACAGGCCUCCUCCUUUCCCUUUCCAGACUCCGGGUGUGGGACAGGGUGGGAAGAGAGUGUCUUUCUUUUUCCCACCCUCUGUAUACAUCCCUCCUAUGCUCCCAGAAGUACAGCAGAAUUUCUUCAUUGGGUUUAGAUAUUAACAGACUUCUUCGGACCAUUUCUGCCUUUGGCUGGGCUAAAAUACAAGGGAUAAUGAACCCAGCCCUUGUUCUGAGUGAGCUAGGAAGGGAAACGGGGGCGGGGCAGAGUAAAAUGUCUGCCGUGAGCUGCAGGCCAGGGAGAUGGCGUCCAGAGCGUCGGUAACUGCGGGACUUGGGAGGAGGAAACACACUUGAGAGACAGGAAACCCACGGGACCUGAAUUGCUUGAUCCGAGAGAAAAAAUCUAGUUAUGACUCCAGAGUUUCUGACUUUGUAGCGGCUGGGAAAUUAUAGUGAAGGGAUUGAAUUUCAAAUCACAAACCACGGAUUCACCUCCCAGCUCAGCUGUUUGCUGGUUGUGGAAUCAGGCAAAUUAGCACAACUUCUAAGCCUUGGUUUUCUCGCGGUAAAUUAGGGCUACCACUGCCUACUCAGAGGAUGUGAGGUACCAAGCCAUAGCAUCACCCCUGGGCAACCAAGAACUGAUAGCCAUUACUGCACCCACCGCAGGCCCUUAGCUAACCUCAGGUAGCUCUGGGAGGAGUCAGCUUUCGACCUGGAGUGUGAGACCUCCACUUAAAAGAUGUGACCGGGAGGGGCGCUUAGAAGAACAGGAAAGCACUCAUACACUAGGGUGGAAUUGGAGAGGAAGUUCAGGGUUAAGCCAGGUAUGGUGAUGCGUGCCUGCAUCACCAGCUACUUGAGAAGCUGAGGCAGAAGGAUCGUGAUACGUUGGAGCCCAGCCUGGACAACUUAGACCCUGUCUGAAAAUUUUAAAAAUGAAAAGGGCGGGGUCGGGGAUGUAGCUCAGUGGUUUCACCGCCUGCUGCGCAAGCACAAGGACCCGAGUUCAAUCCCCGGUUCCACAAAAAAAAAAAAAAAGAAAAGAAAAGAAAAGGGCUAGGAAUGUAGCUACUGGUAAAGUGCUUGCAGUCCAAGGUGUUGGGUAUUUCAAAAUAAAUAAAUUAAAGUUCAGAAGUGAAGAUGUUUGGGAGGCCUCUGACCUCAGGAAGUAGUUGAAACCUUGGGGUGUGAUGGGGCCUUCCAGGGAGUAUAUGUAAUGGGAGAGGGUAAGGGCCAAUGGUAGGCUCACAGAUGCGUUAAGAUACGUGGGAUCUUUUAGCAACAUGCCCCUCCUGUGUCAUCUUUAAAAUGAUGUUACUAUCCAGAGGUGAAUCUGAGUAUCUCGCUAACAGUCUCCUCUGCAAAGACAGAAUCUUGUUGCAUUUAGUUGUCAGUAAUCUGCCAAAUCAGGUGGACUUCUUUCCAUCUGGAAUUACGGUCUUUAGAAAGAAAGUUAAACAUUUGAGAGGCUUUAUAAAAACAAACCUGGCAAAUCUUCAGUCUAAAAGAUUUUUCCACUGAAAACCAAGACAGACUUUUCAGGGUUGGGCUUGCUCAGUUCUUUUCCACUCAAAUCAUGAGAAGUUUAAAAAACAAAAAAAGUGAGUUUGGAGAGCUUGCUUAAGUAAAACCAGGAGUCACUAGAAGUGAAUGAGCUAAAACUGGGAGAAAUCGUUUUGUGCAAUUUGGGUUUCAGCAAAUGCUCGGCAGGCAGCUAACCCCAUUCAUUAAGUGAGAAAAAGUAUGUUCCUAAAUUCUGUUCUCAGAAGCAGUCACCUAGAAAAAAAAUUGUCCCAGCAGAAAGGGAUUCUAGAAACCAUAUGCUCUAGAUUUACAAAACUUUUCUUUGUUGUCAGUGAGAGGCUUCCUAAAAACUAUUUCCAUUCAUUGAAAAUAAUUAAUGAAUCUGGUUACCACGUGGUAAUGUCCCUUCCUAGAAAAGUAUGAUUUUGUUUUGUGCCGCUCUGGAACUCAGAAACUUUGAUCUUUUGGUUUAACUUUAUGGGGUCAUUUUUACUACAUACAUGAAAAGAAACUGCCAUCUGAAAACCUUUUUCUCUGCUUUUGAAAUCUAAAUCCAGACCUGGAAAACAGCCUGCAAGUAGCAUCCUGUCAAACUGAGAUGUGUUAUUUUUCCUGAUUGUCUCUCUUCCACUGUAUUAAAUUAUCAUAUGCUCCAUAUGACUGUCCCCAGGCCAGGCCUGUGUUAGGUUUCCCACUGCAUUCUUUUUUUGGGGGGUGGGGGCUUACCGGGGAUUGAACUCAGGACCUUGUGCUUGCCAGGCAGGUGCAGCGCCAUUGAGCUACGUCCCUGGCUCCCACUGCAUUCUUAGCUGUGACCACGGGGGCUUGGUGGUGAGGUGGGAGUGGCUGGGGGCUUGAGGUCCUCCCGGCUAGAGCGCUCCUCUUUCACCAGUGCCACUCACGCUGAGUAGCUUAAGAAUAAGCUCCUGUGUGAGCCCUUGGAGGCCAAGGAGUAUUGUUGAAUUCAGAAAGGAAUUGCUUUUUUUUUUGGUGAUAAUUUGAAUCUUUUGACAAUGAAGCUAAGCUACCUCUGGCUGUGUACUUCAUGUUCUGGGAGCCCUUCCCUGGGAAGGGGAUGACAGCCCCCACCUCUCUGAAUACAUAAAUUGGGAUUGUCCACUUGUGAGAUGAACAAGCAGAAGAAUUUGAUUCUUUUGCCUUAAUGUUUUUUAAAGCUCUCAGGGCUGGGGAGUUUAAUUCAAGCUUCGGGGACCACCCAUUUAAACCACCAUGAUAAAUGCUGAGCAUUUCAAAAUGACAGGCGGUCCAUGCAGAUGAUUUUUUUUUCCCAUUAAGUUUAUUGGUACAUUUUAGGUAUAAAAUCCAGUUACAGUCAUCAUUGGGAUCUUGUACCAUUACAUGAGUCUCUUGGUUCUUAUUUUUUUCCCCAUUCCCCUACCCUCCCUUCACCCCCUCUACCCUUCCCUAUUUGCAAAGACUUUGUUUCCAUGUUUUUCCUUUUCUCAUAUUUUUUCUUUUCGCUCCUUUCCUUUCCCCUACCCCUCCCACUUCCUCCACUUCUUUAGACCUUUUCUUCCUAUUACACAACAUCAAUUAUACAUUUUUAAAAUUACAAUAUCAAGAUCUAGGAGACAUUACCACAGAUUUUACAGAAUUUAAAAGGAUAUAGAAAGCAUAUUACAAAAAUCUGUUUUGAAAUAAAUUUGACAAAUUCUAAGAAGUACCUUGGAAGACAAAUUAAUGAAACUAACUCUGGAGGAAAUAUAAAAUUUGAAUAGCACCUAUUAAAGAAAGUAUAUUCCUAGCUUGAAAACGUACCUAUAUGUCAACAACAGGCUUGUAUACACUUUAACUGGUGAAUUAUAUCAAACAUUUAAAGCAGAAAAAAGGAACACUUCUCCCCUCAUUUUAGGAAAUCAACAUUGUGCUAAUACUAAAACUGGAUAAAGAUAAUAGAAGAAAAAAGUAUGAACAUAGAUAGAAAUAUGUUUAAUAAAACAAACUAUUAGAAGUCAGAUCUGGCAGUAUGUAGAAAGUGGUUUUAUUACAGGGAUGGCAGUGUUGGUUCAGCAUUGGAAGAUCCACCCCCAAAAGUCAUCAUUUUAACAGAGGAAAGGAAGAAGCCAUAUGAUCCUGUCAGUAGUUAGAGAAAAGGUAUUGGACUAAAUUCUACAGCUGAUCAUGGUAAAAGCUAUCAGGAGACUAGAAAUAGAACAGAACCUUCUCAACAGAUCAAAGACAUGUACUCCAUACUUCCAGCAAAAACACCUUAUAUGAACGGAGAAGAUACAAUGCUUUCUCCUUAAGGUGAGAAACAAGGGCAGAUAUGCCUACUCUUCAUCUGUCCAUUAAACUUUGAAACCUAGGCCUCACCAAAAUAGUCUGGCAAUAGGAUGACACAAUUAGGAUAGGAUUGGCAAGGGAGAAGUGAAAUCUUUAUAUGUAGAUGAAAUGAUCAUCUACAGAGAAAAUACUAAGAAAUCUCUAGGAGCCCCUAGAACUUGUAUUUGAAUUUAGCAGGAUUAGAAAACACAAGGUAUAUAUAAAAAUUCAGGUCUGUGUAUACUUGCUAUAAAUGAAGAAUUGGAUAUUGAAAUUUAAAAGUUAUGUAGGAGUACAAAGGACCUAGAAAAGUAAUUUAAAAACCACAAAAAAACAGUGUUGGAAGACGUUUAGUACCUAGUUUUAAGACUUCUUCUAAAGCUACAGUAAUCAAGGCAGUGUUGGUGUAAGGAAAGACAUAUAGAUCAUUGGAAUAAAACAGAGAAUCUUGAAAUAGAACCACACAUAUAUGGUCCACUGAGUUUUGAAAGAUUAUUUAACAUUAACAUUUUAUAGAAUAUAAACUCAAGAGCUGAGGAAAAGAUAGGGUUUUCAGUAAAUGGUACUAGAACACCUGGUAUCCAUAUAUAAAAAACCUCAACCCUUUCUUUCCAUACAUAAAAAUAACUUGAAAGGAUCUAUGAACCUAAAUAUGAAAGCCUAAAAGUAUUUUAAGAAGAAACUGUAAGGGAACAUGUUUAUGAAUUUAGGGUAGGCAAGAAUUUCCUAGGAUAUAAAAAACAUGAUGUAUAAAAGAAAAAAAUUGAUAAAUGAGAUUCCAUCAAAAUUUAGAACUUUAAAUGACAUCGUUAAGAAAAUGAAAAGCAGUCCUUUAACAGACCAUAUUUAUAAUGCAUAUAACCUAUGGCCAAGACUGGUUACUGCCAGAGUUGAUCCAAGAAGGUCCUGGGGAUUGAGUCCAGGACCUUGUGCACACAAAGCACAGAGCCUACCUCUGAGCUAUACCCCCGGCCACCAACAUGAGUGUGACUCACUGCAGCCAAGUAAAUUAAUGUAUCCAGCACUUCACAUGGGCACCUUUCUUUCUGUGCUAUAAGCAUUCAGAUGAAAACCACCUAAAGUAUAAUGGACUCCCCCAUGGAACUUCCUGGAGAACAUACAGAGAAGUUAAAUGUGACCUACAUUUAUUCUGUGGGAUUUGAGGAGAUUCAACCCAGGGAGCACUGAGCUAUAUUCCUAGCCCUUUAAAAAUUUUUAUUUUGAAGCAUUGUCCCACUAACUCACACAGGCUAUCCUCAAACUUGCAAUCCUCCUGCCUCAGCCUCUCAGGUAGCUGGGAUUACAGUCACAUAGGGUUCUUAGGAGGCCUUUGGCCCCUAGAGAUAUUAAACUGGAACAAACCAGACUUAACCUGAGUUAGAAUUGUGGCUCUGCUGCUCCCAGCAGACAAGAGGAGUCCUCUGGGCCGCCAUACUACCCCCACUAGCACACAGGAGGUGAGCUGCUCCCAGCGCCCAUGCAGAUGAUUUGCGAAGUGUUUAUACAUGCAAAAUAAGGGAGCGAUCAAACACAGACUGAUUCAGACACAUAACCUAUUCGCCUCCAGUUUCUUCCUUGAGCUGUGUUGGGUUGUUUUGAAAUGUUAGUUGGCUGAAAAAGUCUUAAUUUCUCCAUUUUUAAUUUAAAAGGCUAUUCUAUAUAAAGUAAAGGGGCACAGCCCUUCUGAUUAAAUUAACAGGAGCAGGCAGCCAGUGAUUGGAUCACGUAGGUGAGUUAUAAUUGGCUUUGUUUCAUAAUCAAUUUACCUUUUGUACCAGUGAAAAAAAGCCUAUGUAGCUUUCCCCUAAGAGGAUCUGUUGGUCGGAAUGGUUUUAAUGGGAUUUAGAAGCCAAGUUUUAUCACUAAUUGGUGAACAGAGAUACUGGUUUUGAAAUGCUCAUCAGAGUUUGGUGGUACAAAGCCAGCAGCAGACUUGGUUCCUAAGGUCUUGGUAGAAACAUGAAUUCUGAGCUGGGUAUAGUGGCUCAUGCCUGUAAUCCCAGCGCUGGGGAGGCUGAGGCAGGAGAAUUGCCAUGAGUUUGAGGCCAGCCUAGACUGUACAGUGAGUUUGAGCCCAGCUUGAACUAUAUAGGGAGACCCUGUCUCAAAAAAAAAAAAAAAAAUAGAAACUAAAUUCUCAGGGUACCUAAGAUAUUUUUAGUCUGUGCUGGCUUACCUGUGGCCUAAGAAUCUGUCCUUUUAAAAGAUUUUUUUUUUUUUUUUUGGUACGGGGAUCAAACUUGGCUCCUUGCGCUUGCGCAGCAGGUAGCGAAACCACUGAGCUAAAUCCCCAGCCCUUAAAAGAUUUUUUGAUGCGUAACCAGGUUUAGUCAGUACUAAAUCGAAUAUUCAAUUUGGAGGUGCCAGCCUUUUGGCCUUGCUUAUUUGAUAGAUCUCAAUGUUUAUUUGAAGCUUUUGUUGAAAGUGAGUGUUGAUGGGUCAUUGCCGACUUUCUUUCAAUUCAUAAUUUGUUUCAAGUUGUAUUACUGCAUAGAUUUGCAUACCUGUUUAUGGUAUUUAAAUGCUGUUGGUUUAAAAGAAAUACCAUUUCCUCUGAGUGCUGUUUUGAAUGUUUUGGGUAAGCAAUUUCAUGUGUUCUUUUUUUUCUACUUGCAG